GACGAACGCUGGCGGCGUGCUUAACACAUGCAAGUCGAGCGGUAAGGCCCUUUCGAGGGUACACGAGCGGCGAACGGGUGAGUAACACGUGGGUGACCUGCCCUCAGCUCUGGGAUAAGCCUGGGAAACCGGGUCUAAUACUGGAUAUGACUCCAUGACGCAUGUUGUGGGGUGAAAGCCUUGUGCGGCUGAGGAUGGGCCCGCGGCCUAUCAGCUUGUUGGUGGGGNGAUGGCCUACCAAGGCGACGACGGGUAGCCGGCCUGAGAGGGCGACCGGCCACACUGGACUGAGACACGGCCCAGACUCCUACGGGAGGCAGCAGUGGGGAAUCUUGCGCAAUGGGCGAAAGCCUGACGCAGCGACGCCGCGUGAGGGAUGACGGCCUGGUU
rnacentral:rRNA from 1 species